rnacentral:tRNA from 1 species
GUGCCCAUAGCUCAGUUGGUAGAGCGCCGGAUUGUGGCUCCGAAGGUCGCGGGUUCAAGCCCCGUUGGGCACC